UACUAAUGAAUAAUUUCUACUGCAAGAAAUUUACAUGGAUCGCGUGACAAAUUUUAUUUGGGUUGCUGGCUCCAACAAUGAGUCACGCGAGAAAGUAAAGUCACGGCGAUGGACGCACGCUUGAAGUAAUGCUUUUCGAUAUAUAAUAUGCUUAACUUCUUUUAUGUUAUUAUUGAAACAGUUGCUGUUGACGCGGUUUGAGUUUGGCUUCAUCCUGUUGAUCUAAACAGACUGGGGAAAGGUCCUGUUAUUGACGCGUAUUGGUAUUGGUCUCUCUCUGAUGACUCGCCAUAGCUAAACCCCCCGAGUGAUUUUCGUAGUUUCACUUUCCAAAGCAAGUUCCGACGAGGGAAACUCCCUCAGUGCUGUUUCUGGUUCUAUCACUUUUGGUUUCAUUUUUAUCAGAAGACUGAGAAACUGAGUACGAGGAAAAGGUCCUGUUAUUGACACGUAUUCAUUCUGGUUUCAUUCUCGUCGACUGACAAAAAAACUGACCAGUGACUGACCAGGAAACUCCCUAAGUGCUGCUUCAGUUUCAAUCACUUCGGGUUUCACUUUUACGAGAAGACUGACAAACUGAACACAGUAAGUUUAUAAUCUGUAAAGCUAUUUGUGACCAACAGCAUGCACAUACACAAGAUCUAGAGUUUACAUUGGAAGAGACGUCACGAAUCGCGUG